rnacentral:rRNA from 1 species
GAUGAACGCUGGCGGCGUGCUUAACACAUGCAAGUCGAACGAAACACCUUAUUUGAUUUUCUUCGGAACUGAAGAUUUGGUGAUUGAGUGGCGGACGGGUGAGUAACGCGUGGGUAACCUGCCCUGUACAGGGGGAUAACAGUCAGAAAUGACUGCUAAUACCGCAUAAGACCACAGCACCGCAUGGUUCAGGGGUAAAAACUCCGGUGGUACAGGAUGGACCCGCGUCUGAUUAGCUGGUUGGUGAGGUAACGGCGCACCAAGGCGACGAUCAGUAGCCGGCUUGAGAGGGUGAACGGCCACAUUGGGACUGAGACACGGCGCAAACUCCGACGGGAGGCAGCAGUGGGGAAUAUUGCACAAUGGGGGAAACCCUGAUGCAGCGACGCCGCGUGAGUGAAGAAGUAUUUCGGUAUGUAAAGCUCUAGCAGCAGGGAAGAAAAUGACGGUACCUGACUAAGAAGCCCCGGCUAACUACGUG